AUGGGGUACGUCGGCAGCCACGGCGUGGCGACGCUGCGCAAGUACAAGUACAGCGGCGUCGACCACUCCAUCGUCGCCAAGUACAUCCUCCAGCCCUUCUGGUCGCGAUUCGUCAACGUCUUCCCGCUCUGGUUCCCACCAAACAUGAUCACGCUGACAGGUUUCAUGUUUCUGCUGACAUCGGCAUUCCUUGGCUUUUUGUAUUCACCUCAUCUUGAUACAGCGCCCCCUAGAUGGGUUCAUCUCGCGCAUGGAAUCCUUCUCUUCCUUUACCAGACUUUUGAUGCUGUGGAUGGUAAACAAGCAAGACGUACCAACUCAUCAAGUCCUUUAGGCGAACUUUUUGAUCACGGAUGCGAUGCGCUUGCAUGUACUUUUGAGUCCCUGGCUUUUGGGAGCACAGCUAUGUGUGGAAAUGCUACCUUUUGGUUUUGGGUCAUUUCGGCUGUCCCCUUCUACUUUGCAACCUGGGAACACUAUUUUACAAACACACUUGUUCUUCCUAUAGUCAAUGGACCAACUGAAGGCCUUAUGCUGAUUUAUGUGUGCCAUAUCUUCACCUUUUUCACAGGAGCUGAAUGGUGGGCGCAGGAUUUCCGGAAAUCAUUGCCCCUCCUUAAUUGGGUGCCUCUUGUUCCUGAAAUCUCGCUAUAUGGCAUCGUGCUGUUUCUAAUGAUUGCUUUUGCUGUAAUCCCAACGAUUGGAUCUAACACUCACAAUGUUUACAAAGUCGUUGAAGCAAGAAAAGGAAGCAUGGUGCUGGCACUAGCAAUGCUCUUCCCUUUCGGUUUACUCAUGGCUGGAACUCUCGUGUGGUCCUACCUAUCUCCUUCAGAUAUAAUGAGAAAUCAACCACAUCUGCUAAUUAUUGGAACGGGUUUUGCGUUUGGCUAUCUUGUGGGAAGAAUGAUUCUGGCUCACUUAUGUGAUGAACCCAAAGGUCUGAAGACAGGAAUGUGCAUGGCCCUGGCAUAUUUUCCGUUUGCAAUUGCAAAUGCACUGACUGCCCGACUUGAUGAUGGAAACCCCCUUUUUGAUGAGCAGCUCGUUCUCCUGAUAUACUGCUUAUUUACAGUGGCGCUGUACAUGCAUUUUGCUACGUCCGUUAUCCAUGAAAUCACCAACGCACUUGGGAUUCAUUGCUUCAGAAUCACCAGGAAAAAGGCGUAA
rnacentral:rRNA from 1 species